rnacentral:lncRNA from 1 species
AAUUUAUUUUAGUGAAAAAAAAAAUGAAGAAACAGAUUCCUUAGUUUAGAGAAAGGAAUUGCUUUUAAAAAUGGGAUUCUUCAUGGUAAUUUGGAUUAUUGAUAGUUUUAAAAAUAUCAUUCUACUUCCUGGAGUGGAAUUAGAAGGAAUGAGUCUUGAAAUUCCAGGAAAUAGAAGAAUUAGAAUGAACCAGAGGUUUCUUAUCUUCUGGUCAAUUGCCAAAUCGUUAUAAUAGUUUGCUUGGAAAUACGGCUUCAACCUGUAUCAGUAACUAUUACCAGAAGUCCUUCAGACCACCUAAAUGCUUUCCAAAUGCUUUCCUCUUCUCUUUAAGGAAAGAGUUCUUGGAGCAAACGUUUCUAAAGCACACGGAUUCACAAUAAAAAAUAUUUAAACAAUUCCUAAAACCUAUUAACCACUCGUUAUCCCAGCUUUUUAAGUUAAAUCACUGUAUUUGUUUGAAGUAAAAUUAUAGGGUCUCCUUUGAAGAUGAACACAUAAGAAUAUACAUCUUAGAAGAGGAAGGUCUUAUGAAUUUUAAUCUCAAAUAUUCUGGCCUCAAUUUCAACGUGAACUUUAAAGUGUGAUCUAAAUGCUUACUGUGUGUAAUAUAAACAUUAAGAGGCACAUUUUGAUGUCACCUGCGUGAUAAAACUUUCCUGGCUUCAUUGUGCUAAACUUUUCUCAAAUUUUCUGGACCAGAAACAUAGUCCAAACAUAGCACAUCAUCAUAUCACACAGACAAACACACACACACACACUCACACACUACCAUACACACAGCAAGAACACAGUACAGCACCAGCAUACAGUAAGUGCCAUAGGUGUGCCCACCUUGGAAUGUUGUUGAAAAUUAGAUUCUCCUGGUCAAUAGCCAUCAAGUCCUAUAACUGCCACAUCUUUCCAAGAUAUUUUCCCCAAUUCCAUUACACUCCCCAAAAUACUAGUCUCACUAGAGACAAAACAUGACAAGAACUCUUUACACAAUCUCUUAAAAUCUACUUUAUUUCACAUUGCAUGCCUGUUAUCAAAACAUCUCAGGUACCCCAUAAAUAUAUAUACCUACUAUGUGCCCAAAAAUUUUUUUAAAAAAUCUAUUUUAACUUGGAUAAGUUAAGUAUAUUUCUGUAUAUUAGGUAGAAAAAAUCAGGUGGUUUUCUUAGUUUGGGUUAGCAGACUCUGAGACAAUAAUCCAAAUGCAAAUGGUUUAUCUAGGCAGUGAUCCCAGGAAGAACAGUGAAAGAAUAAGGAAGUAAAACAAAGAAGGAAGGAAGUGAAUAUAGCUAAUAUUUAUAUUGUUAAUCAGCAAAUUACCACUAUGGGAAUGUAGGCUCAGUCUCACUGAGAUUCUCUAAGAAGCUGUACAGAACAUUCUUCAGUACUGUACCAGCAAUGGCAAGAAAGCUGGAGUGUUUAUCCACCAGAUCUCAUCCCUCACUGGUGAGGGUCACUCCUAAGAUUCUGAUUUUCCCAGAUUCCUGGUCUGCACUUCUUGGACCUACCACAUUUCCAUGGUCAGAGAAUGCUCUCCAACAGAGACGCAGGAAGCUUUAUUUAUUCUUAAAAGUUGAGCGGCUCAGGCUCAUAAAUACUAAUGAUCCAAGUAUUUUCUGGUGUUAGCUAGCCAUAGUGUGAUAUCUAGGAAUGUCUAGCCAAGCUGACCAAGCCUCCCUCUAGCAAUACUCCAUUAUGAGUACCAUUUUUUACCUGGUUGCUAGGGACAACCAAAUUUUGCCUAUAAUGAUGAAUAGAGGUCCUCCUGACCCAAAUAUCUGAGUGUAUUUGAAAGGAGUUCUUUAAUUUAGAGUCAUAUAUAAAGGCAACAAAAAGCAGGAGUUGCAAUAUAGAUUGAGAGCUGGAUAAUUUUUCUUGUAUUUUUUAUGUAGAUACAAAUAUGUAUACAAAAAAUUAAGAUUAGUGGAGUCAUGAUAUUAACUUUUAAACUCUUCACAGAGAAGUAGAGAAACUGGUUUGACUGAGAGAAUUCUCUCACUCUGGUUGUUUCUGAUGUUUCUUGGUUCUUGCUUUCUAAUUCUGUCUUCUCCUAAACUGGUACGUUCUAUGAUGUUUAUGUUCCCUCAUGGGACCACAUCAGAAUGAUCACUUCCUUGAUGCAAGGCUCUUAAUUAUGACUCCAGAGAAAUCCAGAAAAAUCUGUUCCCAUCGGUUACUGCUGAAAAAAAGUACAAGAUCUUGCUCAGCAGCAUUCCUAAAGAGAUUGCUUUCUUUUGCUCACAUUUUUUCAAAAUGCCUGCUGUCUGUUUUACCUUAAAAAUAGUAAUUCUUAAUUCAUAUAGCAUUGCAAUUCACAACUCUGUUUUUCCAAAAUACCCCAAGAUGUAUCAGUGAGAAAAAUUAUUUCCCAUUUUGGCAUUCUCUGGGAAAGGGAAAUUUCUAACAUUUUACUUCCAUGUGCAAAAGUCUUCAAAUUCUGGCAUAUUUCCCAUGAAUCUUUAAUCUGAUCUACCUAACAAUGCCCUUUGAGUUGAUUGCCCUUUGAGUUGAGGUUUUAUGGUUUCACAACUUCAAUCUCACUGAUAUAUAGGUUAGGCUAGCAUCAAAGAAAAUAGGUUAAAGAAAUAGUUUCACUUAUUUUGGCCCACCUAAAACCAGGACUUGAACUUUACCAAAAACUAAAUAUCUAAGCAUAGCACGUUAGAAAGCAGCAUAUAGUACAAGAACAGUAGGGAGGGCACAAAGCUCAGGUCUGUGGCUUAAUAGUGACUGACCACAGGCACACUGGUAACUUCUCUUAACCGUCCUGCCUCAUCUGACAAGCAGGGUAAAUGUCAUCUAUGUUACAAAGUGGGUGGUGGUUCUAAAUUAGAGAGCCUAGACAAAGUGUCCCCGACUGCUGCAUAUUAUAGGCUCUCAGAAAACAUUAACUGCCUUUCUCUUUCCUCCAAAGUUUCAGUUGAGAAAAGUAUAAGCUCAAGGAAUAGAAGAUAAAUGUUCAGUAGAAUAGGAAUGGAAUCUAAUGCUUUUUCAUGCUGUGGUAAAUCACUGAAAAUGUGUCUUCAUGUCACAUUCUGUUUGGAGAGCAGUGUCUAUUUCCCUUUCUAAAUAUCAUUCAUCAGUGCAUCCUUUCUUGUAUCCAAAUAAAUGAAUCUUAAAUCUCUCUUUAAAUAGUUAUAAGGCAUGUGACUGACACAAACCAUAAAUCUAGAUAAAGAUUUGAAGGAUAUACUAACCAGGCUUGAGAUUACUAGAAGAGAGAAUAAAGAAAAUUGCAAAUGAACUGCUCUGAAAUAAAAUGACUACCAUGCAUUGCAAUUAGAAAAUCUAGGGGAAAACGACAAGUUGAGCUUCGUCUUCUUACCAGAAACUGUGUUGCUCUCUUUCCAUGUUUCCACUACCACUUUUGCCACAUGUGGUGAGAAACAUGAAAUAGCACAUGUUAGAAAAGUGAAUACUGUCAGGUGGAAAGCGUGCCUCACUCUUUUCUGGGAAUUACAUUCCGGGGUUUGAAUGGCUGAUUACCUUUAUGCAUGAACAAUUCAAUCAACUCAUCUCUGUACUGCUUAGCCCAGCUGGGUCUUGGCAAUAAUUCAAUUUGGGAAGGUUCUUCCAGAAAACCAUGCUAAUAUGUUUAGUUUUUAGAAGAAAAAAUAAUACACUGUAGAGAAUUGAUUUGGGGGUUGGCAAUGUAGUUGUAGGGAAAGGGAUUCAAGUGAGGACUAUCAUUUUUUUUCCCUCAUGUCAGGCAAAGGAUUGGAGAGAUUAAGGAACUUGAUUCAAGUCACGAAGCUACUAAGAGGCAAAACCAUGGUUUUAGUGAGACCCGUCUGGUUUCAAGAAGAGUAGUUUAAGUGUAUUCAGAGCCCAUUAUGUACCAGUCACUAUGUUCAGAAGUUUAUAUCUAGACCCCUCACAACAGGUAUGUAUGGUAAGUAUUGUUAUAAUCAAAAAAGCUGCCUUUUAUAAUCAAAAAAGCUGCGACCUACCCAUUGUCCCCAAACUAGUUACACCGCAAGCCUACAUUUAAAUUCAAAUUUGUUGUAUGCAAAAUCCUACAUUUUCUUUUACUGUACUAUAUUGCUUCCUAAGAACUACAAGUAUUAUAUCCUAGAAAUGUUAGCAGAUCAAUAAAUAUUUAUUAUCUGGUUCUUAAACGGCUUCAAUAUUUCAACUGAUUGUGUUGAUGUUUCCAUCUUGAAUUUAUUCUGAGCCCCUCCUUGUAGAAAGGGUAAUUCAUGAUUGUCACUAGAUAAUGAUAGAAAUCCUGUCUUUAUACCAAAAUAACAUAAAGUAAUGAAGAAAUAAAACUGUAGUUAUUGAGUUUCAGUUCUGAUUUUUACCAAUGAAUGAUGAAUGUGACACAAUCCAUGCAAAUGCAAUAGUCAGCAAUAUAUUGUGGACGCAGAUAAUAGCUUACAGAAAAGAAUAGCCAAUUUGAGAUCAUAGACAGAGAAAAAGACACACAAAAUCGAUGCAGAAUGAUAGUAAGUAAAAUAAAUUCAGAUUUAAAUUUCAUAUUUUAUUACUCAGCUCUGUGGCCUACUACUGCCAAGAAGCUUAUUUUGAAAAAGUGUGACAUACUAAAACAUUGAAAGAACAUGCAACAUAGACAAAAUUUUCACAAUUUAACGACAUGCAAUAGUAGUUAGUGGCAUGGUUAAUUUCAAAGUAAUGGAUCCAUACUUUGGGUGAUAUCAGAUCUUGAACCUGGAGUAUGAAGACCUGAACUACCUAUGAAAAUCAAUAAUCUUCCAGAGAUAGUUUAACUACAACUCUAUUGCUAAUAUUAAAAGUAGAAAAUAAAUGUUAGUAGCAGUGGCACAUUGUUUACCACCACAUCGUGGGACUGGAAUGAGGUUAAUGUUACAUAGUCACAAUAUUCCAUUUGUCUAGGACUAUUUUAUUAUCAAAAAUACAUAUCGAAACAAUUAUUUCUUGGAAAGCAUUAUUUUAAUAAAUUUGGGUUAUAAAGACUUAAAGUUACUAGGCAACGUUUCCUCCAUUGUGUAUUUUCUCAGUCUCUUUUCUCUAAAAUUUUGGCCAUUAACUGAAUUAUUAAAUUUUCCUUUUCUAAGAUUAUACUAAUACAUCUUUGAAUGAUAUAUUUUAAUAUAAAUUUUAGAAUAAGAACAAUGUUUAUGCUAUGGGUAUACUUUCUGCUAAUCCGGGGGGAAACUUUACCAAGUUAAGAAGGAUUUGGAAUUCACUUCAUGCAACUCUGCAUUUUAUAUAUUGGGGCUCAGAUUUAAAUAUAAUUGUUUCUGCUAUUUUUCAGAAGCUGAAACUACCUCUAGAAGACAAAAUAAACUAAUGUUUAGCAAUAUAUUCUCAUGUUUUCUGUUUCAUAGGGUAUAAUAAAAGUGUAAGUGUGUAAACAUAGAGCCAUAUCCAGAAGUCUGAAUUAAUGUCUUCUCCACUAGGAGUAAACCAGAAUCAACCUACUACACUAAGAGCAGAAAGCCACACUCUUCUCUUGGAGACAAGGUCUCAGGAAAGGAGUGGGUAAAACACUUAUCUCCAGAAAGCCAGCAAGAGGGAAGAAGGAAGAAAACCCCAUCCUGCAUGGUAUGAUGCUGAGAUUCCUCACAUAUCUUCAAAGCAUCCUAAGAAACCACGGGAAGAAAUGAAAGGAUUCUCCAUCAGCCAGAUGGUGUGAGCGAGAAGUCAAGUGAAGACAAACCUUCGAUUCUCC